rnacentral:lncRNA from 1 species
GCAAAAUUCUAGUCAAGUUUCAUAUCUGAAUCACUCCGAUCCAGUGUACGGUUUGAAAACUACGCGGGUUUGAAAAUAUGCUCUAAUCUGUAAUUUUGAAAUUCGAGACUAAUUAGACAAAUUCGCAUGCUGUAAAAAAACACAACCGGGCCGAAUUACACCAUAGCGUAGCAGCCCAGGAGUGGAUUGGACCCAAUUGUCUAUGUACAGCAGUGAAAAAAACAAAGGCAGAAAUGAAAUUUAAGCUGGAGUGCGAUUUGAUCCCAGGACCUCAC